ensembl:lncRNA
ACCACGUGGUCUCAUCUUGGCGUUUCCAGGCAACCGGUCCCAGUGUGACGAUUACGAGGACUUCCUCCUGCCCAAAUGCAAAGGCGGGACCAUAAUUCCCACGUGCCUCCACUUCCUCCACCAAGUCUUCCGGAUUCACACUGAAUAAGUUCUAGCCUGGAGACUGGGUCCUGGUUCGGACGUGGAAGGAGGCCAAGCUGACCCUGAGCUGAGAAGGACCGUUCCAGAUCCUGUUGACUUCAGACACGGCGAUACGCACCAAAGAAGGAGGUUGGACACAUCACACUCGAGUCAAAGGUCCCGUGGAUGCACCAAAGAAGUGGGCAGUAGACACUGAUCCAGGAACAUUGAAAGUGCGACUGAUAUUACAGGAAACUCAGCAAAGACUGAUGAAUUGUGCAUGUAAAAUCUUUUUGACUUGUCUCAUUUGGGGAACUCUCUUGGGACUUUUCUUGUUUGUAUUAGAUAUUACAUUUUGCUGAAGAACUGUAUUGUUAGGAAUUAGGGAUAUUAUAUACCAUUAGGAAGAAUGGGGGUGUGAACCAAACCCAAGGGGUUGGAGACUGUGUCUUGUCUAUGCAUGUAUGAUUUUAUGCAGGUACACCUUUUGUACUGGUACCUCGAGAGCAGUGGGGUAUGAAAAUACCUUUCAAACCCUGAUCCAAACAAUAGCCACUAGCUUUAAAUUGACUGACUACUGGACAUGUGGGGGACCCGAACAACUCACACGAUGGCCCUGAGUACCUGUCCCUUUAUUUCCAGCCUGGAUAUUGAGUAAUAGAUCAGUUGUACAUGAUGGUACCGGAUUUUGGUCAGAUCAGGAGGAACAUCAGUGGAAAGUAACUAAUGCUGUCCCAGGAGGACAUGGUUUAAAUCAAACAGGCACAGGGCCUUGGAUGGGAGAAAGUGAAUGCGAAUGGACUUUUACCCACCGGCCAGAGAAGGUAGAUAUUAUAGAUUGUAGUCAAUAUAAAAAUAGAUAGAAUAAAACAAGUGUUGUUUGUGACGAUGGGUCAGUGAUUAAAUGGACUCAUCCACAUGCAGUAGAGGGUAGUGAAGAAUGCUUGAGGGAAUUGAAAAAGAAGCCAACUUGUCAAACACCCCGAGAUUUAUGGAGAUGUUUAAGGUUAAAUAGUACAAAGUCAGGUACUGCUAGUACUGUAAUGAGAUGGAAAUGGGAAAAUAGUAAUGGAACUGUUAGGAAAAUGUUUGGUAACUUUUGGAGCAAUAUAGAUUUUACUGGGGAGAAUAACUGUAGUUGCACUUGGAUGCCUGAAAAGCAACUUUGGAAGCGUAAUUCAAAAACCAUGAAAGGGGGACCGUUAGGACCAAGGGAUGUUAUAUAUUUCCCACCCUCAACAGGAGUUUUUAUCUUCUGGCAUGAGAAAAACCCAGCUUUAAGGGGACACUAUUGGAUUUGUGGCCAGAUGGCAUAUACUCACUUCCCAAGAAAUUGGACUGGGAAUUGUUAUGCAAGUACAAUAAGGCCCAAGUUUUUCUUCCUUCCAGAAAAUAGUGACAAACAGGAAUAUGACUAGUAUAGAUACUUCUCUGAUUCAAACAGGUGAUGCUAAUGGAUGGGGAAAUACAUGACUCCUAGAAAGAACAUCAAAGAGUAUGGGCCAGCCACAUGGGCUCAGGAUGGAAGUUGAGGGUAUAGGACACCAAUAUAUAUAUAUUAAAUAGGCUAAUUAGAUUACAAGCAGUUCUUCUUUUGCUCCUACAAAUCAGUCCUUCAGUCUCCUGCAUUCUUCUUUCCAGUUCCCUUCAGAACUUUUAAGAUUCACAAUAUAGUGAAUAGCUAGAAAAACUCCAUAAAGCAUAACUUACAAUGGUAACAAAUUACUCAAUAUGUUUCCUUGUUUUCCACAUGUCCAACUUUCUAAAUUUGGAUUCCUCCAUACACCCUUUCCUUUAUUGUUUCUUGCAGACUCCUAGCCCCUCCUGGGUCCCUUAUCUUCCUUUUUUAGCAGCAUCCGAGUUAUGGAUCUGCUGAAAUCAUGAUCCUAUUUCUCUCUCUUUCUCUCAUCCCUUUGCUUUUCCCAUUCCCUUCUCUGCCUCUCUUUCUCCUUAGCCCGGUCCUCAUCUCUCCUUGCAUAAACCUUUGUAGCUUCCUCCAAUAAAAAUUUCCAAGGAGAUCGCAUCCACCCUUUAAUCUUAUAUAACUUCCUAUUUAUCCGGCCAGGAAUUAGGAUUUAGAUACAAACUGCACCUUUAACAUGUGUUAUCCAGUGCCCCCUUGAGCCCCACCUAAUGGGACUUCCCUGAAGGGGAACAUAUCAGCAUCCCCAG